AAUUUCACAAUUUCUGCCAGGGUAUGCAAACAUUUGAGCACAACUGUAUCUCAACGCACAUGUUGGCAGUUUGCAUUGAUUCCAAUGUACAUGAAGGUUUUAGAUUGGUGUUCUGAUUGGCAUAUCUUUAUUACAUAGAAGGCCACCCCAGUUAUUCUCCCACAGACACUGCCACGGCUCAAUGCACGUGCCAUGGACACAACCUGGGUAAGGAAUGCACUCGUUACAGUUCUG